rnacentral:rRNA from 1 species
CCUACGGGUGGCAGCAGUGGGGAAUAUUGCACAAUGGGGGAAACCCUGAUGCAGCGACGCCGCGUGAAUGAAGAAGUCUUUCGGUAUGUAAAGCUCUAUCAGCAGGGAAGAAAAUGACGGUACCUGAUUAAGAAGCCCCGGCUAACUACGUGCCAGCAGCCGCGGUAAUACGUAGGGGGCAAGCGUUAUCCGGAUUUACUGGGUGUAAAGGGCGUGCAGCCGGAGAGACAAGUCAGAUGUGAAAUCCACGGGCUCAACCCGUGAACUGCAGUUGAAACUGUUUCCCUUGAGUGUCGGAGAGGUAAUCGGAAUUCCUAGUGUAGCGGUGAAAUGCGUAGAUAUUAGGAAGAACACCAGUGGCGAAGGCGGAUUACUGGACGAUAACUGACGGUGAGGCGCGAAAGCGUGGGGAGCAAACAGGAUUAGAUACCCUGGUAGUC